UAUAGUUYUAUCUAGAAAGUAUAAAUGUUGAAUGUUUUACAAUUUAAAUGUGUAUGAAAUUCACUGAGGAUGGUCCACCCAUUCCUCCUCUGAGGAGCCUCCACUGGUGCAGACCAAGAAUGGGAAGGUCAGUGAAAUGGGAAGGUCAGGUGAAACAGAUCAGGGCGUGACACUAAUAUGUGUUUCUAUAACAUUCUAAGAAAACUAAGGAUCAAAUCAUCCAGGCUAACCCAGCUCUGGAGGCAUUUGGUAAUGACAAGACCAUUAGAAAUGACAACUCCUCAAGAUUUGAGAGUUUCUGAUAGAUAUUCAGAUUGAUUUAAUACAGCAUUAAUCACCUGAAAAUAAACUAACAAACAUUUUAUGUUUCGGGUAAAUUUAUCAGGAUUAAUUUUGACACUAGAGGAAAACUCACUUCUGCUAAAAUUGAGACAUGUCCAAAGAAAGUGGCUGAAAGAAAUGUCAUUUUCUACUGUUCUAAAUCUCCUUCUUUCCAGACCUUCUGGAAAGUCUUGUGUCACUUUUGAGCUGAAGGCUGAGAGACUACCACGUCUUCUAUCAGAUCUUGUCAAACAAGAAACCUGAAUUACUGGAGACGCUGCUGGUGACAGCUAAUCCAUAUGACUCUACCUUCAUCUCCCAGGGGGAGACAAGUGUUGUCUAUUGAUGACGCUGAUGUUGGGAACAGAUAGUGCUUUUGAUUUGCUGGGCWUUACUGUGGAGAAGAAAAACUCAGUGUAUAAGCUGACUGGUGCUAUCAUGCACUAUGGCAAUAUGAGGUUCAAGCAGAAACAGUGCGAGGAGCAGGCAGAGGCUGAUGGAACGGAAUGUGAGAGCAGGCUAAAAGCCAAAAGCAGAGCAUUGUUCUGUGAAUCCAUAGGUAAAGCAUUACAACUCACUGAUUUUCUUUCCCAGGUGCUGACAAAGUAUCAUAUCUUAUGGGCCUGAACUCUGCUGACCUCAUAAAGGGUCUCUGUCACCCACAGGUAAAAGUAGRGAAUGAGUGUGUCAAAGGGAAAACUGUCCAAGAGGUGAGUGAUGGGAUAUUUCACACAGGGGAGAGCAACAAGUGGAUGAUGUGAAAUCCUAUAUAGAGAUUAGAUAGCAUUUUUCCAUUCUAACAAACCACUAGCUCGAAGACGCCAGGCUCCCCAGCAUUACUCACUCAUACCACCAUCAUUACGAAYACCUGCCUUCUCCCGUCAUACGCAUCAGCAAUUAUUGGACUCACCUGGACUCAGUCACCUGUGUCAUUACCUCCCCUAUAUCUGUCUGUUCUCAAGUUCUGUUCCUCGCUUCAGGAUUAAUUGUCAUAUGUCGUUGUGUUACCCGUGUGCUGACGCUGUUCCUGUCUUGUUCCAUGUCUGUUACUUAUUAAAUAUUGACUCCCCGUA